AUUGAACGCUGGCGGCAGGCCUAACACAUGCAAGUCGAGCGGCAGCGGGAAAGUAGCUUGCUACUUUUGCCGGCGAGCGGCGGACGGGUGAGUAAUGCCUGGGGAUCUGCCCAGUCGAGGGGGAUAACUACUGGAAACGGUAGCUAAUACCGCAUACGCCCUACGGGGGAAAGCAGGGGACCUUCGGGCCUUGCGCGAUUGGAUGAACCCAGGUGGGAUUAGCUAGUUGGUGAGGUAAUGGCUCACCAAGGCGACGAUCCCUAGCUGGUCUGGGAGGAGGAUCAGCCACACUGGAACGGAGACACGGUCCAGACUCCUACGGGAGGCAGCAGUGGGGAAUAUUGCACAAUGGGGGAAACCCUGAUGCAGCCAUGCCGCGUGUGUGAAGAAGGCCUUCGGGUUGUAAAGCACUUUCAGCGAGGAGGAAAGGUUGGUAGCUAAUAACUGCCAGCUGUGACGUUACUCGCAGAAGAAGCACCGGCUAACUCCGUGCCAGCAGCCGCAGUAACAC
rnacentral:rRNA from 1 species